rnacentral:lncRNA from 1 species
UCAUAUAAUCUCAGGUAUCAACAUGGAAUGCCACCCCUAAUAUUCAUGUAUCACUUUACUAUUAUUAUAUAGAUGAAUAAAGUAUAACAUAAAAUUAAACGUCAGUCCCUCAUAUAAUAUCAAAUAAAUUAAGAAUUGAAGAUAUCAAACUUAACAAACACAUUUUCAACAAUAAUAGAAAUAAUAAACCAAAUUUUCAUCCA